AACGCGAAGAACCUUACCUGAUCUUGACAUCCCCCUGACCGGUGAGUAAUGUCACCUUUCCUUCGGGACAGGGGAGACAGGUGGUGCAUGGUUGUCGUCAGCUCGUGUCGUGAGAUGUUGGGUUAAGUCCCGCAACGAGCGCAACCCUUAUCCUUAGUAGCCAGCAUUACGGAUGGGCACUCUAGGGAGACUGCCAGGGACAACCUGGAGGAAGGUGGGGAUGACGUCAAAUCAUCAUGCCCCUUAUGACCAGGGCUACACACGUGCUACAAUGGCGUAAACAAAGGGAAGCGAAGGAGUGAUCCGGAGCAAAUCUCAAAAAUAACGUCUCAGUUCGGAUUGUAGUCUGCAACUCGACUACAUGAAGCUGGAAUCGCUAGUAAUCGCGAAUCAGCAUGUCGCGGUGAAUACGUUCCCGGGUCUUGUACACACCG
rnacentral:rRNA from 1 species